UUUGUAGAAUGAACCGGCGAGUUACGAUUUGUUGCAAGGUUAAGCGGAAAAAGCGGAGCCGUAGCGAAAGCGAGUCUGAAUAGGGCGCAUAAGUAACAGGUCGUAGACCCGAAACCAGGUGAUCUACCCAUGUCCAGGAUGAAGGUAAGGUAAUACUUACUGGAGGUCCGAACCCACGCACGUUGAAAAGUGCGGGGAUGAGGUGUGGGUAGCGGAGAAAUUCCAAUCGAACUUGGAGAUAGCUGGUUCUCUCCGAAAUAGCUUUAGGGCUAGCCUCGAGGUAAAGAGUCAUGGAGGUAGAGCACUGUUUGGACUAGGGGCCCUUCUCGGGUUACCGAAUUCAGAUAAACUCCGAAUGCCAUGUACUUAUACUCGGGAGUCAGACUGCGAGUGAUAAGAUCCGUAGUCGAAAGGGAAACAGCCCAGACCACCAGUUAAGGUCCCCAAAUAUAUGUUAAGUGGAAAAGGAUGUGGGGUUGCUUAGACAACCAGGAUGUUGGCUUAGAAGCAGCCACCAUUGAAAGAGUGCGUAAUAGCUCACUGGUCGAGUGACCCCGCGCCGAAAAUGUACCGGGGCUAAACAUAUUACCGAAACUGUGGAUGAACCUCUUUAGAGGUUCGUGGUAGGAGAGCGUUCUAAGGGCGGUGAAGUCAGACCGGAAGGACUGGUGGAGCGCUUAGAAGUGAGAAUGCCGGUAUGAGUAGCGAAAGAAGGGUGAGAAUCCCUUCCACCGAAUAUCUAAGGUUUCCUGAGGAAGGCUCGUCCGCUCAGGGUUAGUCGGGACCUAAGCCGAGGCCGAUAGGCGUAGGCGAUGGACAACAGGUAGAGAUUCCUGUACCAGUGCUAAUUGUUUAACCGAUGGGGUGACACAGAAGGAUAGGGAAUCGCACGAAUGGAAAUGUGCGUCCAAGCAGUGAGUGUGAGAAGUAGGCAAAUCCGCUUCUCGCGAAGCAUGAGCUGUGAUGGGGAAGGAAAUUAAGUACGGAAGUUCCUGAUUUCACGCUGUCAAGAAAAGCCUCUAGGAAGAGUAGUACUGCCCGUACCGCAAACCGACACAGGUAGAUGAGGAGAGAAUCCUAAGGUGAGCGAGAGAACUCUCGUUAAGGAACUCGGCAAAAUGACCCCGUAACUUCGGGAGAAGGGGUGCUCUAUUAGGGUGCAAGCCCGAGAGAGCCGCAGUGAAUAGGCCCAGGCGACUGUUUAGCAAAAACACAGGUCUCUGCAAAACCGUAAGGUGACGUAUAGGGGCUGACGCCUGCCCGGUGCUGGAAGGUUAAGAGGAGUGCUUAGCUUCGGCGAAGGUACGAAUUGAAGCCCCAGUAAACGGCGGCCGUAACUAUAACGGUCCUAAGGUAGCGAAAUUCCUUGUCGGGUAAGUUCCGACCCGCACGAAAGGCGCAACGAUCUGGGCACUGUCUCAACGAGAGACUCGGUGAAAUUAUAGUACCUGUGAAGAUGCAGGUUACCCGCGACAGGACGGAAAGACCCCGUGGAGCUUUACUGCAACCUGAUAUGGAAUGUUUGUACCGCUUGUACAGGAUAGGUAGGAGCCGAAGAGACGUGUGCGCUAGCAUACGAGGAGGCAAUGGUGGGAUACUACCCUGGCUGUAUGACCAUUCUAACCCGCCACGCUUAGCGCGUGGGGAGACAGUGUCAGGUGGGCAGUUUGACUGGGGCGGUCGCCUCCUAAAGAGUAACGGAGGCGCCCAAAGGUUCCCUCAGAAUGGAUGGAAAUCAUUCGCAGAGUGUAAAGGCACAAGGGAGCU
rnacentral:rRNA from 1 species